CCUACGGGAGGCAGCAGUAGGGAAUCUUCCGCAAUGGACGAAAGUCUGACGGAGCAACGCCGCGUGAACGAUGAAGGCCUUCGGGUCGUAAAGUUCUGUUGUUAGGGAAGAACAAGUGCUAGUUAAAUAAGCUGGCACCUUGACGGUACCUAACCAGAAAGCCACGGCUAACUACGUGCCAGCAGCCGCGGUAAUACGUAGGUGGCAAGUGUUGUCCGGAAUUAUUGGGCGUAAAGCGCGCGCAGGCGGUUUCUUAAGUCUGAUGUGAAAGCCCCCGGCUCAACCGGGGAGGGUCAUUGGAAACUGGGAAACUUGAGUGCAGAAGAGGAAAGUGGAAUUCCAAGUGUAGCGGUGAAAUGCGUAGAGAUUUGGAGGAACACCAGUGGCGAAGGCGAUUUUCUGGUCUGUAACUGACGCUGAGGCGCGAAAGCGUGGGGAGCAAACAGGAUUAGAUACCCUGGUAGUCCACGCUGUAAACGAUGAGUGCUAAGUGUUAGAGGGUUUCGCCCUUUAGUGCUGAAGUUAACGCAUUAAGCACUCCGCCUGGGGAGUACGCGCAGACAGAACUACAAGAAGUAGACGGCGUGAGACGUGCCGAACGGACGACGACGAGGGAGGUAGG
rnacentral:rRNA from 1 species